rnacentral:lncRNA from 1 species
CUCAGAUACCACAGGAACAAGUGCAGUAAAAAUGCCUAGAGAGAUUAGAUGUUAAAGGCAGAAACAAAUUAUAAGAAAAAAGGACAGUGCACGGACCCAAUGGCACAUCCUAGUGGGAAGUUCAUCAUCCUUGUGGCAGCCCCUCUCCAUCCUCUCUCUGUUUUCUUUGGAAAGAUACAUUGUACUGACUUGUAGAAUGAUUCUAGAAUGUGGGUGCAUGCUCAGAACCACGGAGGAUGAGCUGAUCACAAGAGGCACUGGAAUUCCACAUCACCAAAUGGCUGAACUGGAAGGAGAGAGAGAGGACCCCCAGCUCCCUGGCUUCAGAAAUUACCUCAGCUGAGUGUGGACAUAUGUAGAUGCAGAUGAAGAACUCAGAGACACGGCUCACAGUAGGACUCCACCUAAACCUCAAUUGGAAGAAGAUGGCGAGGAAGCUGGUUGGUACCUAUUCGCUGAGGACAUAUUACAGGUGAAGUGGAAGGAGAGAUCCGUGCACCUGUGAAAGCAGACAGCAUCCAGAAGAUUAAAUGUCUGGGAUAUUAACUGCAAGUUUUGGGGAUCAAACCUACGAGGUGGUGAGCACCUCUUGGAAGAUGUGGAGUGCUCUCAACUCAUUAAUUUCAGCAGGAGAUGAAGGCUCUCGGCAACAUCUGGGAGGUCUCGGUGAGUCAAACAUCCUAAGGUUGGAAAUCCUAAGCUGAUGAGAGGAACAAUUAAAAGGUGAAUAUUGCAUGGCAUUUUUAUUGUCUUUAAUCCAUCCUGUGAUAUCCCAAAGACAUACAGAGUCUCAAAGAUAAGUGAUCCAAAAUGACCUGCAGCUGAGAGAGCAGAACAGUAUGUUACCAAACGUUCAUCAAAUGUU